GUCAUUUAAACACGGAUAUGAGGGGUGGGGUGGGGAGGCAAGAUCCUGGAAAGCUUCUUUCCACCUGUACUAAGCCACACCAGAGACAGCACGAGGUAUAUAGAAGAACUGGUGAGAAGACUCAAGAACAGCAGCAGUCGAAUAGCACAAGGGGGUUGCUGACGACAGAUAAUCCACAGUGACCCUUAAAAGCACAAAACCCUGAGGCAAAAAAAAAAAGGAAGGCAGUGAGAAACCCGUUUGACUGCUCCAAGUAAUUCCCAGUUUUGACUCCUUUCCUCCAGUUCAACCUGUGGCUGACCCCAGUCAGCCGCCCCCCAUGCCACUGACAGCUCCCGGCCACGCUCCCGCAGCUGGAGGUGCCGGAGGGAGCCUGCCGCGAGAACCUGCACAACUUCUUGUCAAAACCACAUGCCACAGGGUGAAACGGAUACAGAUUAACCCACUUCUGCUUCAGCCUUCCACUGCACCUGUGUCUAGGAAAAGGGUCAGGGGGUAUUCCCUCGCAGGGCGAUCAGCCGUCUCGUCUCUCUCUUGCUUCAGGCCCAGGGCCUCCAGAGCGCGGAGCUCCGCCGGGCCCUGCGGGGCCGCCCGCCGCUCCUGGCCGCCCCCGCGGCGCCGCAGCGCCGUCUGGUAGCUGGGCAGCUCCUGCAGGAAAUCCACAGAUCUCCAGGAUGAUUCUUCCUAGGUGGGAUUUUCUGUACAGCAAAGGCUGAUGCUGCAUGGCUGUCUGCUGCCCUCCCGAGAAGCUGAGCUGUGCUUCAGCUUGAGAGCACGUGGGAUCGGCUUGUUUGUAACAGAGCUGGGUACCUCAGUGAAGCCCAUUACAUGCAUGGUUUUGGUUCCUUGGUUGAGCAUCGUGUUUCAUGGGCUUCAUUUGAACAAAUUCCAGCGGAUCAUUCCUGAAGAUUCAGGAGAUGGAAAUCAAACCCCCUCAGUAGCAUUCCUGAAAAAUCAUUCAGUAUUAGUUCAGAUUCGUGCUAAGUGUGCAUUUCAUAUGCCGGAUAUGAAUGCGUAUUGCACCACCAGUACCCCCUUUUAUUCUUCCCUUGAAGCCAACCAAGCGUGGGCUAUUUUUGUGUUCAGCUGUGAACACAGAGCAGGGCCGGGUCUGCCCUAAAUAGGAAUACUUGUGGUGUAAGACUUCCCAAGGGGUGUUGUAUGGGGUGUCAGUUUUGCUUUAUAUUUAUGUUCCUUUUCUUACCACUAAGAAUAAAAGAAGAAAGGUAAUACA